UACGUAGGGUGCGAGCGUUAAUCGGAAUUACUGGGCGUAAAGGGCGCGUAGGCGGCCUUCUAAGUCGAACGUGAAAUCCCCGGGCUCAACCCGGGAACUGCGUCCGAUACUGGAAGGCUUGAAUCCGGGAGAGGGAUGUGGAAUUCCAGGUGUAGCGGUGGAAUGCGCAGAUAUCAGGAGGAACACCGAUGGCGAAGGCAGCUCGCUGGGACGGUACUGACGCUGAGGCGCGAAAGCGUGGGGAGCGAACAGG
rnacentral:rRNA from 1 species